GUGCUCGCUUCGGCGGCACAUGUACUAAAAUUAGAACGAUACAGAGAAGAUUAGCAUGGCCCUUGUGCAAGGAUGACACACAAAUUUGUGAAGUGUUCCAUAUUUGG